rnacentral:lncRNA from 1 species
UAUCUUGACAUUUUAAUUUUAUUUACUUAUUUAUUUAUCUAUUUAUUUAUUUACUUAAUUUUAGAGCACGCGCAAGAGAGCACAGACAUGAGCAGGGAAGAGGGACAGAGGGAAAGAGAGAGAGAAUCUUAACCAGACCCCAUGCUCAGCAUUGAAUCUGAUGCAGGGAUCGAUCCCAGGACCCUGAGAUCAUGACCUACGCUGAAAUCAAGAGUUAGAUGCUCAGCCAACUUAGCCACCCUGGCACCCCUGUCUUGACAUUUUAAGGAAUGAAAUCACAAAUGAAAACAGAGAUCAACUCUCCUGGAAAACCUACUCUAAGACAGAGAUAAACGUCCAAGAGUUUCUUAGGAUGUGCUCCGGGCAUCUACAAUUGUUGGAGGGGAGAAGCAGGAACAGCAAAGGGAAAAUGAGGUGUGAUACAGUCUGAAGGAAACCUCCACUGAUGCUCUGGCGAGUUCUGAAGCUGGACUAUCUCUAGACUUGAGCUUUUCCACACGGCAUAAAGACUUGAUACAUGAAGAUCAAUCAGCCUUUUGGCAAUCGUUAGGUAGCGAGAAUGAAGAUGAAGUUCAACCUGCUGAGAAUCACCUGCUGGGAAGACAAAGAAACGGGUUCCAUGAAUCACCAUUGAGACUCUACACCAAGCCCAUACUCUUUCCCUUGGCCCUUUCUUGUUUAUAUGGCAGAAGACUUGAGUGGUUGGGUCACCCGGAUUAAGGGCGGGGAGAAUAGGAAGAGGGAAGAGAUAUCAUCCAGGCGAGUCUCCAGCUGACCCUCCAGUUUUCAAGAACAGCAGAUCUUUUCAGGUGAGCUUAGCACAGAGAGAUAAGCCAUUAUUUGUUAUAAUAAUAGUAAUGAUAAUAAUAAAUAAUAUUUAACAAUUAAAU